rnacentral:lncRNA from 1 species
GCUGCCUGUGCUUCCAGCCCGUUUGCCCUUAUUGAAGAAAGAAGAGAAUUAAAAUCCAUAAUCAUGUGAGCGAACCAGCCGGGAAAACCGACAUAGACAGACACCUUCCGUAGUAAUUUAUUUCUCCCAGCGGAAAGACUUUAUUGUGAAAGAAGUAUAUUCCACAGGGGCCCUGGACUGAUAAAAUAGAGUGAGUAGUGUGUAUAUCACUUUUUACGUAAUAUAUGAACACCUUUAGAAAAUUUCCUGAGUUGCAUGUUAUAAUUUUUUAUUAAUUAUAAUCAGUUU